rnacentral:rRNA from 1 species
GACGAACGCUGGCGGCGUGCUUAACACAUGCAAGUCGAACGAAGUGGCGAACGGGUGAGUAACGCGUAAUCAACCUGCCCUUCAGAGGGGGACAACAGUUGGAAACGACUGCUAAUACCGCAUACUGAAGGAGGGGAUUGCGUCUGAUUAGCUAGUGGGGGGGGUAACGGCCCACCAAGGCGAUGAUCAGUAGCCGGGCUGAGAGGGUGACCGGCACCAUUGGGACUGGGACACGGCCCAGACUCAGACGGGAGGCAGCGGUGGGGAAUCGUCCGAAAUGGACGAAAGUCUGACGGAGCAACGCCGCGGGAGUGAUGACGGCCUUCGGGUUGUAAAGCUCUGUUAAUCGGGACGCGGUACCGGAAUAGAAAGCCACGGCUAACUACGUGCCAGCAGCCGCGGUAAUUC